GAUGAAGAACGCAGCGAAAUGCGAUAAGUAAUGUGAAUUGCAGAAUUCAGUGAAUCAUCGAAUCUUUGAACGCACCUUGCACCCUUUGGCAUUCCGAAGGGUAUGCUCGUUUGAGUGUCAUUGUACUCUCACACUUCCGAUCUUUGGAUUGGGAGCGGUGGACUUGGGUGUUGCUGCUUACUGUGGCUCACCUCAAAUCGAUUCGUGCACCUCUUGGUUGGACAUAGUACGGCGUGAUAAGUGUCUUCGCCGGCACCUCAGUAGAGGGUGGCUGAUCGGGAGCUCUGCUUCAAACCGGCCUCGGACAACAACUGACAACUUGACCUCAAAUCGAGUAGGACUACCCGCUGAACUUAAGCAUAUCAAUAAGCGGAGGA
rnacentral:misc_RNA from 1 species